rnacentral:RNase_P_RNA from 1 species
GCAAGCAAACGAUCCGUCGCUCGCGUGUGGCAACACGCGCGAGAGGAACUUCCCGACUCCCUGUUCCGUGCGAAAGCACAGAGCGCGGUUGCCUCACGAAACAGCAAGUGAGGGCGCGCGACGAGCAAUCGGCGCGCGACGACAACUGCAACAGAAAAAUGUCCUCCCACGCGAGUGGGGCAGGAGCGAACCGGUGGGGUAAAAGCCCACCAGCGUCGCAGGAGACUGCGGCGGCUAGGUGAAUGUCCAACUGGGAGCAAGGCGGGUGGGAUCAAUUCGCGCAAGCGAAGCGAUUCCCGUCGCAGUCGCGAUGCGCAAGUAAUCGCAACCACGAUCGAUCGAUCGCGAGACAGAUGACGGAUAGAACAGAAUCGGGGGUACGGUUUGCUUGCCGCA